rnacentral:rRNA from 1 species
GAUAAACGCUGGCGGCGUGCCUAAUACAUGCAAGUCGAGCGAACGGACGAGAAGCUUGCUUCUCUGAUGUUAGCGGCGGACGGGUGAGUAACACGUGGAUAACCUACCUAUAAGACUGGGAUAACUUCGGGAAACCGGAGCUAAUACCGGAUAAUAUUUUGAACCGCAUGGUUCAAAAGUGAAAGACGGUCUUGCUGUCACUUAUAGAUGGAUCCGCGCUGCAUUAGCUAGUUGGUAAGGUAACGGCUUACCAAGGCAACGAUGCAUAGCCGACCUGAGAGGGUGAUCGGCCACACUGGAACUGAGACACGGUCCAGACUCCUACGGGAGGCAGCAGUAGGGAAUCUUCCGCAAUGGGCGAAAGCCUGACGGAGCAACGCCGCGUGAGUGAUGAAGGUCUUCGGAUCGUAAAACUCUGUUAUUAGGGAAGAACAUAUGUGUAAGUAACUGUGCACAUCUUGACGGUACCUAAUCAGAAAGCCACGGCUAACUACGUGCCAGCAGCCGCGGUAAUACGUANGUGGCAAGCGUUAUCCGGAAUUUAUGGGCGUAAAGCGCGCGUANGCGGUUUUUUAGUCUGAUGUGAAAGCCCACGGCUCAACCGUGGAGGGUCAUUGGAAACUGGAAAACUUGAGUGCAGAAGAGGAAAGUGGAAUUCCAUGUGUAGCGGUGAAAUGCGCAGAGAUAUGGAGGAACACCAGUGGCGAAGGCGACUUUCUGGUCUGUAACUGACGCUGAUGUGCGAAAGCGUGGGGAUCAAACAGGAUUAGAUACCCUGGUAGUCCACGCCGUAAACGAUGAGUGCUAAGUGUUAGGGGGUUUCCGCCCCUUAGUGCUGCAGCUAACGCAUUAAGCACUCCGCCUGGGGAGUACGACCGCAAGGUUGAAACUCAAAGGAAUUGACGGGGACCCGCACAAGCGGUGGAGCAUGUGGUUUAAUUCGAAGCAACGCGAAGAACCUUACCAAAUCUUGACAUCCUUUGACAACUCUAGAGAUAGAGCCUUCCCCUUCGGGGGACAAAGUGACAGGUGGUGCAUGGUUGUCGUCAGCUCGUGUCGUGAGAUGUUGGGUUAAGUCCCGCAACGAGCGCAACCCUUAAGCUUAGUUGCCAUCAUUAAGUUGGGCACUCUAAGUUGACUGCCGGUGACAAACCGGAGGAAGGUGGGGAUGACGUCAAAUCAUCAUGCCCCUUAUGAUUUGGGCUACACACGUGCUACAAUGGACAAUACAAAGGGCAGCGAAACCGCGAGGUCAAGCAAAUCCCAUAAAGUUGUUCUCAGUUCGGAUUGUAGUCUGCAACUCGACUACAUGAAGCUGGAAUCGCUAGUAAUCGUAGAUCAGCAUGCUACGGUGAAUACGUUCCCGGGUCU